rnacentral:lncRNA from 1 species
AAAAAAUCAAAACCUUAUUGAAACGAUAACGAUAAGCAUAUGUACAAAUCGAUAAUCGAUAAGUAAUGUUCGAUAAGGGUCAAAAUUGAAUCGAUAAAUCGAAUGCACACCCCUACGCCUGAUUACCAACAUUUGAAUUAUAUUCCUUCCCUCUGAAACUUGAAUUAUUUUCCCUUUGUUUUCCAGGUGGGCGCCUGACUGCUAAACUCGACCCGCUUUCCUUUGAAACCGUUUUCCCUUGAAACUUGAACUGUCUUUCCUUGUUCUCCAAGUGGGCGCCUAAUUACAACACAACAGACAAAACAAAAGAAAUUUUUCUGCCCCAGUUUGCACUAGGAAGAUUUGUGAGUUGUUAGUAGAACUAUAAAUCACCUACGCUACUGAUGAAGGAUGCAAUGAUGAGAGUAAAAUUAAUGACUCGACUAGGAUGUGCGUCUCCUAAACGUGAUUGAACUUGCGGAAAACUAUAAACUAAGCUUGACUAAAGUAAAGACUGACCCUAUUUUCCGGGCGGGAUCCCUGGUUUCAAGAAAACUAGACAUUGAUAACUUAAAAAAAAACUAAAAAUUGACCCCUCUUUUUUUUUCAAAUUCAGACUUCCCUUUUUUUUAAAAUUAUUAUCCCAGGAGAAAAUUCAUCAGACUAGGUUUUCUAUCUUAGGGGAAAGAUUCAUCAAACUAAGAUUUUGAUCCUAGGAGAAAAUUCAUCAGACUAGGCCUCUUUUCUACUUCUUUUUUGGUAUCUUAGGAGAAAGAUUCAUCAGACUAAGAUUUUGAUCCUAGGAGAAAGUUCAUCAGACUAGGUCUCUUUUCUACUUAUUUUUUGGUAUCUUAGGAGAAAGGUUCAUCGGACUAAGAUUUUUAUCAUUGGAGAAAGUUCAUCAGACUAGGUCAUCUAUCUUAGGAGAAA